rnacentral:rRNA from 1 species
CGAACGGUAACAGGAAGCAGCUUGCUGCUUCGCUGACGAGUGGCGGACGGGUGAGUAAUGUCUGGGAAACUGCCUGAUGGAGGGGGAUAACUACUGGAAACGGUGGCUAAUACCGCAUAACGUCGCAAGACCAAAGAGGGGGACCUUCGGGCCUCUUGCCAUCAGAUGUGCCCAGAUGGGAUUAGCUUGUUGGUGAGGUAACGGCUCACCAAGGCGACGAUCCCUAGCUGGUCUGAGAGGAUGACCAGCCACACUGGAACUGAGACACGGUCCAGACUCCUACGGGAGGCAGCAGUGGGGAAUAUUGCACAAUGGGCGCAAGCCUGAUGCAGCCAUGCCGCGUGUAUGAAGAAGGCCUUCGGGUUGUAAAGUACUUUCAGCGGGGAGGAAGGUGUUGUGGUUAAUAACCGCAGCAAUUGACGUUACCCGCAGAAGAAGCACCGGCUAACUCCGUGCCAGCAGCCGCGGUAAUACGGAGGGUGCAAGCGUUAAUCGGAAUUACUGGGCGUAAAGCGCACGCAGGCGGUCUGUCAAGUCGGAUGUGAAAUCCCCGGGCUCAACCUGGGAACUGCAUUCGAAACUGGCAGGC